GUCUCCGGCGGUAUCACCCUAAACAUGGCCAUCUCGUCUGAUCUCAGAAGCUAAGCAGGGUUGGGCCUAGUUAGUACUUGGAUGGGAGAAAAUAAAAUUGGGGAUUACAGACC
rnacentral:rRNA from 1 species